rnacentral:rRNA from 1 species
GACGUAGGAUGCAAGCGUUGUUCGGAUUUACUGGGCGUAAAGGGCGCGUAGGCGGCCAGCACAAGUCAGUUGUGAAAUCUCCGAGCUUAACUCGGAAAGGUCAACUGAUACUGUGCGACUAGAGUGCAGAAGGGGCAACUGGAAUUCUCGGUGUAGCGGUGAAAUGCGUAGAUAUCGAGAGGAACACCUGCGGCGAAGGCGGGUUGCUGGGCUGACACUGACGCUGAUGCGCGAAAGCCAGGGGAGCGAACGGG